GACGAACGCUGGCGGCGUGCUUAACACAUGCAAGUCGAACGGAAAGGCCCUGCUUGCAGGGUACUCGAGUGGCGAACGGGUGAGUAACACGUGGGUGAUCUGCCCUGCACUUCGGGAUAAGCCUGGGAAACUGGGUCUAAUACCGGAUAGGAGCCAUUUUUAGUGUGAUGGUUGGAAAGUUUUUUCGGUGUAGGAUGAGCUCGCGGCCUAUCAGCUUGUUGGUGGGGUAAUGGCCUACCAAGGCGGCGACGGGUAGCCGGCCUGAGGGGGUGGACGGCCACAUUGGGACUGAGAUACGGCCCAGACUCCUACGGGAGGCAGCGGUGGGGAAUAUUGCACAAUGGGCGCAAGCCUGAUGCAGCGACGCCGCGUGGGGGAUGACGGCCUUCGGGUUGUAAACUCCUUUCGCUAGGGACGAAGCUUUUUGUGACGGUACCUAGAUAAGAAGCACCGGCUAACUACGUG
rnacentral:rRNA from 1 species